GAUGCUACAAUCGUCAUAGUAACUACAUCUCUUUGUAAGUGCAGACGCGUUGUUUCUAUAUAAUUCACAAUAUCUACGCAAUAUGAAGUUCUUAAUAAUUUUGUUUUCUCUCGGCGUGUUCUUACAUUGCGAAGCUAAACUCCUGAAUAGAUGUGAGUUGGUACAGCAGUUAAGGAGUCAUGGUUUCCCUGAGGAUAAGAUGAGAGAUUGGGUCUGUCUGGUGGAAAGCGAGAGUUCCGGGCGCACGCACAAGAUCGGUAAAGUAAACAAGAAUGGUUCCCGGGACUACGGUCUGUUCCAGAUCAACGAUAAGUACUGGUGCAGCAACACAAGCUCUCCUGGUAAAGACUGCAAUGUCACCUGUGCUGACCUCAUAACUGAUGACAUCACGAAGGCGGCGAAAUGCGCUAAGAAAGUGUUCAAACGCCACGGAUUCAGAGCUUGGUAUGGAUGGAGGAACAAGUGUCAGGGAUCUCUGCCCGAUAUCAGUUCCUGCUAGAAGAUAAGAAGAAAGGAUAAAACCGAAGAUUUUAUAAUCUCUUUAUAGUAAUUUUUUAAAUAUUUAAUGAUCUAAUGUCGGGUAAAGGUUUACCACGGCAGCGGUUUGCCCAGCCGUACCAAGCGUUGAAGCCAUGUCGUCUGAAUAUCUUCU